rnacentral:rRNA from 1 species
CAAAAGUGAAAGACGGUCUUGCUGUCACUUAUAGAUGGAUCCGCGCUGCAUUAGCUAGUUGGUAAGGUAACGGCUUACCAAGGCAACGAUGCAUAGCCGACCUGAGAGGGUGAUCGGCCACACUGGAACUGAGACACGGUCCAGACUCCUACGGGAGGCAGCAGUAGGGAAUCUUCCGCAAUGGGCGAAAGCCUGACGGAGCAACGCCGCGUGAGUGAUGAAGGUCUUCGGAUCGUAAAACUCUGUUAUUAGGGAAGAACAUAUGUGUAAGUAACUGUGCACAUCUUGACGGUACCUAAUCAGAAAGCCACGGCUAACUACGUGCCAGCAGCCGCGGUAAUACGUAGGUGGCAAGCGUUAUCCGGAAUUAUUGGGCGUAAAGCGCGCGUAGGCGGUUUUUUAAGUCUGAUGUGAAAGCCCACGGCUCAACCGUGGAGGGUCAUUGGAAACUGGAAAACUUGAGUGCAGAAGAGGAAAGUGGAAUUCCAUGUGUAGCGGUGAAAUGCGCAGAGAUAUGGAGGAACACCAGUGGCGAAGGCGACUUUCUGGUCUGUAACUGACGCUGAUGUGCGAAAGCGUGGGGAUCAAACAGGAUUAGAUACCCUGGUAGUCCACGCCGUAAACGAUGAGUGCUAAGUGUUAGGGGGUUUCCGCCCCUUAGUGCUGCAGCUAACGCAUUAAGCACUCCGCCUGGGGAGUACGACCGCAAGGUUGAAACUCAAAGGAAUUGACGGGGACCCGCACAAGCGGUGGAGCAUGUGGUUUAAUUCGAAGCAACGCGAAGAACCUUACCAAAUCUUGACAUCCUUUGACAACUCUAGAGAUAGAGCNNNNNNNNNNNNNNNNNNNNNNNNNNNNNNNNUUCCCCUUCGGGGGACAAAGUGACAGGUGGUGCAUGGUUGUCGUCAGCUCGUGUCGUGAGAUGUUGGGUUAAGUCCCGCAACGAGCGCAACCCUUAAGCUUAGUUGCCAUCAUUAAGUUGGGCACUCUAAGUUGACUGCCGGUGACAAACCGGAGGAAGGUGGGGAUGACGUCAAAUCAUCAUGCCCCUUAUGAUUUGGGCUACACACGUGCUACAAUGGACAAUACAAAGGGCAGCGAAACCGCGAGGUCAAGCAAAUCCCAUAAAGUUGUUCUCAGUUCGGAUUGUAGUCUGCAACUCGACUACAUGAAGCUGGAAUCGCUAGUAAUCGUAGAUCAGCAUGCUACGGUGAAUACGUUCCCGGGUCUUGUACACACCGCCCGUCACACCACGAGAGUUUGUAACACCCGAAGCCGGUGGAGUAACCUUUUAGGAGCUAGCCGUCGAAGGUGGGACAAAUGAUUGGGGUGAAGUCGUAACAAGGUAGCCGUAUCGGAAGGUGCGGCUGGAUCACCU